GCGGUCUUAGCUCAGCUGGGAGAGCGUCAGACUGAAGCCCCAACUUCAAUCAUCCAAUUAUCUGAAGGUCGUGUGUUCAAGCCACACAGAUCGCA
rnacentral:tRNA from 1 species